rnacentral:rRNA from 1 species
CCUACGGGGGGCAGCAGUGGGGAAUUUUGGACAAUGGGGGCAACCCUGAUCCAGCCAUGCCGCGUGAGUGAAGAAGGCCUUCGGGUUGUAAAGCUCUUUCGGCCGGGAAGAAAUCGCAUGGGCUAAUACCCUGUGCGGAUGACGGUACCGGCAUAAGAAGCACCGGCUAACUACGUGCCAGCAGCCGCGGUAAUACGUAGGGUGCGAGCGUUAAUCGGAAUUACUGGGCGUAAAGCGUGCGCAGGCGGUUUUUUAAGACAGGCGUGAAAUCCCCGGGCUCAACCUGGGAACUGCGCUUGUGACUGGAAGGCUAGAGUAUGGCAGAGGGGGGUGGAAUUCCACGUGUAGCAGUGAAAUGCGUAGAGAUGUGGAGGAACACCAAUGGCGAAGGCAGCCCCCUGGGCCAAUACUGACGCUCAUGCACGAAAGCGUGGGUAGCAAACAGGCUUAGAUACCCCGGUAGUC